rnacentral:rRNA from 1 species
UACGGGGGGAGCAAGCGUUGUUCGGAUUUACUGGGCGUAAAGGGCGCGUAGGCGGUCAGCACAAGUCAGUUGUGAAAUCUCCGGGCUUAACUCGGAAAGGUCAACUGAUACCGUGCGACUAGAGUGCGGAAGGGGCAACUGGAAUUCUCGGUGUAGCGGUGAAAUGCGUAGAUAUCGAGAGGAACACCUGCGGCGAAGGCGACUACCUGGCCUGUUCUUGACGCUGAGGCGCGAAAGCUAGGGGAGCAAACGGG